CACACCGCCCGUCACACCAUGGGAGUUGGUUUGACCCUAAGCUGGUGCGCGAACCUGCAAGGGACGCAGCCAACCACGGUCGGGUCAGCGACUGGGGUG
rnacentral:rRNA from 1 species